GAAACGACUGCUAAUACCGCAUAAGCCCACGGGUCGGCAUCGACCAGAGGGAAAAGGAGCAAUCCGCUUUGAGAUGGCCUCGCGUCCGAUUAGCUAGUUGGUGAGGUAACGGCCCACCAAGGCAACGAUCGGUAGCCGGACUGAGAGGUUGAACGGCCACAUUGGGACUGAGACACGGCCCAGACUCCUACGGGAGGCAGCAGUGGGGAAUAUUGCACAAUGGGGGAAACCCUGAUGCAGCGACGCCGCGUGGAGGAAGAAGGUCUUCGGAUUGUAAACUCCUGUUGUUGAGGAAGAUAAUGACGGUACUCAACAAGGAAGUGACGGCUAACUACGUGCCAGCAGCCGCGGUAAAACGUAGGUCACAAGCGUUGUCCGGAAUUACUGGGUGUAAAGGGAGCGCAGGCGGGAAGACAAGUUGGAAGUGAAAUCCAUGGGCUCAACCCAUGAACUGCUUUCAAAACUGUUUUUCUUGAGUAGUGCAGAGGUAGGCGGAAUUCCCGGUGUAGCGGUGGAAUGCGUAGAUAUCGGGAGGAACACCAGUGGCGAAGGCGGCCUACUGGGCACCAACUGACGCUGAGGCUCGAAAGUGUGGGUAGCAAACAGGAUUAGAUACCCUGGUAGUCCACACCGUAAACGAUGAUUACUAGGUGUUGGAGGAUUGACCCCUUCAGUG
rnacentral:rRNA from 1 species